CGCUCGACAUCAGAGUUUGAUCCUGGCUCAGGACGAACGCUGGCGGCGUGCCUAACACAUGCAAGUCGAGCGGGGAUUGUGGAGAGCUUGCUCAAAACAAUUCUAGCGGCGGACGGGUGAGUAACGGGUGAGCAACCUGCCUUUUAGUGGGGAAUAACGGCUGGAAACGGUCGCUAAUACCGCAUAAUGUAUUGAUAUGGCAUCAUAUUGAUACCAAAGAUUUAUCGCUAAAAGAUGGGCUCGCGUCCGAUUAGCUAGUUGGUGGGGUAAAGGCUCACCAAGGCGACGAUCGGUAGCCGGACUGAGAGGUUGAACGGCCACAUUGGGACUGAGACACGGCCCAG
rnacentral:rRNA from 1 species